GGCGGACGGGUGAGUAACGCGUGGGAAUCUGCCUACUAGCGGGGGAUAGCCCGGAGAAAUCCGGAUUAAUACCGCAUACGCCCUACGGGGGAAAGCUGGGGAUCUUCGGACCUGGCACUAGUAGAUGAGCCCGCGUUGGAUUAGCUUGUUGGUGGGGUAAUGGCCUACCAAGGCAACGAUCCAUAGCUGUUCUGAGAGGAAGAUCAGCCACACUGGGACUGAGACACGGCCCAG
rnacentral:rRNA from 1 species